AUUGAACGCUGGCGGCAUGCCUUACACAUGCAAGUCGAACGGCAGCACGGGAGCAAUCCUGGUGGCGAGUGGCGAACGGGUGAGUAAUAUAUCGGAACGUGCCCAGUCGUGGGGGAUAACGUAGCGAAAGCUACGCUAAUACCGCAUACGAUCUAUGGAUGAAAGCGGGGGAUCGCAAGACCUCGCGCGAUUGGAGCGGCCGAUAUCAGAUUAGGUAGUUGGUGAGGUAAAGGCUCACCAAGCCGACGAUCUGUAGCUGGUCUGAGAGGACGACCAGCCACACUGGGACUGAGACACGGCCCAGACUCCUACGGGAGGCAGCAGUGGGGAAUUUUGGACCAUGGGCGCAAGCCUGAUCCAGCAAUGCCGCGUGCAGGAUGAAGGCCUUCGGGUUGUAAACUGCUUUUGUACGGAACGAAACGGUGAGCUCUAAUACAGUUUGCUAAUGACGGUACCGUAAGAAUAAGCACCGGCUAACUACGUGCCAGCAGCCGCCGUAA
rnacentral:rRNA from 1 species